rnacentral:misc_RNA from 1 species
CCGAGUGAGGGGCCACCAAACCCCGACCUCCCACCCUUUGUAAAUCAAACCUCGUUGCUUCGGGGGUGACCUAUUCGCUUAGGGCCCCCGGAGGACCAUCAACUCUGCAUUCAUGCGUCGGAGUCAAAAUGAAAUAAAUCA